rnacentral:rRNA from 1 species
UGGGGAAUAUUGGACAAUGGGCGAAAGCCUGAUCCAGCCAUGCCGCGUGUGUGAAGAAGGUCUUCGGAUUGUAAAGCACUUUAAGUUGGGAGGAAGGGCAGUAAGCGAAUACCUUGCUGUUUUGACGUUACCGACAGAAUAAGCACCGGCUAACUCUGUGCCAGCAGCCGCGGUAAUACAGAGGGUGCAAGCGUUAAUCGGAAUUACUGGGCGUAAGGCGCGCGUAGGUGGUUCGUUAAGUUGAAUGUGAAAGCCCCGGGCUCAACCUGGGAACUGCAUCCAAAACUGGCGAGCUAGAGUAGGGCAGAGGGUGGUGGAAUUUCCUGUGUAGCGGUGAAAUGCGUAGAUAUAGGGAGGAACACCAGUGGCGAAGGCGACCACCUGGGCUCAUACUGACACUGAGGUGCGAAAGCGUGGGGAGCAAACAGG